UACGAAGGGGGCUAGCGUUGUUCGGAGUUACUGGGCGUAAAGGGCGCGUAGGCGGCGCACCAAGUCAGGCGUGAAAGCCCUGGGCUCAACCCGGGAAUUGCGCUUGAGACUGGUGUGCUUGAGUACGGGAGAGGAUAGUGGAAUUCCCAGUGUAGAGGUGAAAUUCGUAGAUAUUGGGAAGAACACCAGUGGCGUAGGCGGCGACCUGGUCCUUUACUGACGCUGAGGCGCGAAAGCGUGGGGAGCAAACAGG
rnacentral:rRNA from 1 species